GUGGUAGGAUCAAGACACUGUUUUCUGUUCCAGCUCAUUUUGCGAACAAUGUUAUGUCACAGGUCACUUGGCUGUCCUUGGCUCAACUGUGAGUAAGGAGGAGUCCUGCGGAAUGAAAAAUGACUACCCAGAUUUGCCACCAAAAUCCAGCAGGAGUGCCUUAGAAAGCAGAGACGAGAGGACACAGACACACAGAGACAGCAUGUGAAGACAGGCAAGAUUGUGUGAUGCUGCCACGAGCCCAGGGAUGCUGGGAACCAGAAGCUGGAAGAGACAAGGAAGGAUUCUCCCUCUCAGGGUUAUUGUGGUGACCACAGAAUGCAUUUGGAAGUGGCUUUGUAAACUGCAGAGUGAUAAGCCAAUUCAAUAUUUGGAGUUGUGUUUUAUCUUCCAAAGGCCUCAGUAAACAUUUGUAGAACUG
rnacentral:lncRNA from 10 species